CGAAGGGGGCUAGCGUUGUUCGGAAUUACUGGGCGUAAAGGGCCAGUAGGCGGCCAACUAAGUCCGACGUGAAAUCCCCAGGCUCAACCUGGGAACUGCGUCGGAUACUGGAUGGCUUGAAUUCGGGAGAGGGAUGCAGAAUUCCAGGUGUAGCGGUGAAAUGCGUAGAUAUCUGGAGGAAUACCGGUGGCGAAGGCGGCAUCCUGGACCGACAUUGACGCUGAAUGGCGAAAGCUAGGGGAGCAAACGGGAUUAGAUACCCCGGUAGUCCUAGCCCUAAACGAUGAAUGCUUGGUGUGGCGGGUAUCGAUCCCUGCCGUGCCGAAGCUAACGCAUUAAGCAUUCCGCCUGGGGAGUACGGUCGCAAGGCUG
rnacentral:rRNA from 1 species